CGGGUUUGGAACCGCCCGGCGGGACUCGCUGGGGCCUGGUGCUUUCGGACAGCCACGCCCUGCUGCCUUGUUUACCAAAGACCCGACUCCCCGGGAGGCUGCGUCAGACCACAUGGAGUAAAAUGGGUCCUUUGUCAGCUGCAGUCGGAAUUCAAACGCCUCCUCUGAGGUCCUCCCCGCCCGACCCCCGUGCUUUCCCGGGGAGCCCCGGCGGCGCCUCUCGCUGCCCGGUGCUGCCCCCUGCCGGGGACCGCGGGCACAGCGCGUGCCUUCCAAAGGGUGGCUUCUCAUCACCUGAAGUUGUCAGAGCAGCUAAUAGCGCGUGAACAGGAAGAAAAUUACGCUUCUGUAAGUGGAUUGGGUGUUGAAAGACUCUGAGAUCAAUGGUGGAGGCAGGGAGCGUGACUGAUGGAGAUUCAAGUCUGAAGCCUGAACAAAACAAAAAGGCAGAGUGAGAGAGAAUUCUCCGUGCACCUGUCUUCGAGCUGGAGCAUUGUGCUUCUGCCUCUGGACUCACACUUGGACUGGGGCUUACGUGUUGGCUGUCCUGGUUCUUGGGCCUCAGACUUGGACAAGAACGACACUGCCAGCCAUUCUUGGUUUCCAGCUUGCUGACUGCAGACCUUGGGACUUCUCAGCCUCCGUAAUAAUGGAAAAGAGCAACGUUGGUGACCGUGAGAGCUGAUACGUAUUGUUGAACCUCAGCAUGGUCCUGCGAGGUGGGGACUGUGAUAUGUCCCGUCCUGCAGCUGGGAGCUGCAGUGUGAGGCGUCGGCGGCAGGUGUUGCGUGGCCGCCCCUCCCCAGCAGCUGGCGUCCUCCUCCUCCAUCUGCGAUGAAGGAGCCAGAAUACCCCAACGACCGCACAACCUCACAACCACAAUGAGCACCGCCCCCAGCACCACAGCUGCAGCAACCACACCAUUUGGACACACCAGCACGACUGCAGUCACCACCAGAACUGCCGCCACCACACGAGCACACAACAGCCACACCACAGCGUCUGCACAACUGCACAGCCACACAACCACGCAACCGCGGUGAUCCGGGCAUUCACCGAAAGCGCGUUGUGCUGUCACCGAGGCCGCUGAGAUGGGUCUCCCCAGCCUCCCGCUGUAGAUGUGCGCAGGCCAGGGAAGCUGGGUAACUUCUAGACCUUCAGGCAGGAGUGGGAGGGGCUGGUCUUGGGAGGAGCUGGACCCCAGACCCGGCCUCCCCUCCGGGGGAAGGCGUGGGCCCUUGAGCACUUCCUCCUCUGUGUGGCUCUCAGCCCUCGCUGGGGGCGUCUUUCUUACUUUCCUUUUCCAGUGGGUGCCCCAAGAUGCUCGGGGCGCGGACCUCAGCUUACGUGGCGAGGUGCUCCAGGCAGGGAGCAAGCAGGCGCUUGUCCUCUCGCCGCGGUGGCUGUGGCAGCUCACGCCGGGGAGCCAGCCUGGAGCGCCACUCUCCGGGAGGGGCCGGGCAGCAGGUCAUUUCCACCAGAGGCCGUGCCCGGGAGCAAUGAGUGUCUGCGCAUACUGCCCUUGCUGCUAGGCCAACGGCCUUUGAUCUUGUCAACGUCAAGAGAAGAGAAGGCUCCCCUCUUCCAAUCUUGGAGAAUUUUUAGUCUUGCUGAGAAGUACCCUACGCUUCCUCAUUUCUGAUUUCAAAGAAGAGGUACACUUUCCCUCCAAGGAAAGGGGAACCGGUUCCCAGGGCUGUCAGAGCAGCGGCCGCUGAGCUUUGCUAAAGCGCUUGCCUGCUGCCCAGAGGGGCUGACAGGCCCUCGCCCCAGAUCCAGCCUGCCGGACGGCAGGACAGCUUUCCUUCGUCUUACCCGGUCCCAGCCAGUGCUUCUCAACUGUGAUCACACUGCACUAUCACUCAGAGGGGUUAAAAAUCCUGUUACCCAGCUAGCAGCCAAGAUCAAGUUAAUCUAAUCAAUGGUGGGGAGGGCAUGGGAUGCUUGAAAGCUCCCCGGGAGAUUCCAGGGUACAGCCAGGCCUGGCGACCUCAGGUCCAAGUGUGCGGUUCCUAUAAAUGCCUCUGUUCACAGCUUGAACCUAGUUCUUGUAAAAGCUGAGCAGAUGUUCUUGAUAACUAUAGUGCAGUCAACGCUUGAAGAACAAGAGGGUUAGGGGCACUGACCCUCUGUGCAGUGUAUAAGUUUUGAUUCCUCAAAAAACUUAACUACCCGUAGCCUGCUGUUGACCAGAAGCCUUACCGAUAACAAACAUAUUAACACCUAUUUGUAUGUUAAUGUUAUAUCUUAACAUAUAACAUGUUAUAUAUUAUAGAUUAACACAUAUUUUGUAUGUUAAAUGUGUUAUAUACUGUGUUCUUACAAUAAAGUAAGCUGGAGAGAAGAAAAUGUUACUAAGAAAAUCACAAGGAAGAGAAUGUACUGACUGUUCAUUAAGUGGGAAUGGACCAUCAGAGAGGUCUUCAUCUCCUCAUCUUCACACUAACAGGCUGAGGACGAGGAGGAGGAGGGGGCGGUUGCCCUUGCUCUCUCAGGGCUGGCAGAGGUGGAAGACAGUCUGUGUGUAUAUGGCCUGAGAUGUUCAAACCAUGCCGUUCAAGGGACAGCUGUAUUUAAAACGAGGCAGGCUCAGCCCAGACUUAAGGGAAAGGUGAGCAGGGGGAAAGGUAAUCACGAGCACGGAAUACUCCUGAAUUAGGGCACCGCCCACUGCUGCCUGCCACACAGCUGUUUGUACCUGGCACAGGCCCCCUUCUUGUUCCCAAGGAUCAGGACAGUUCCACCUGCACUUUCAUUGGUUCUUUAUCUUUGUGAAGACCCAGAUCAUUAUGCAUGUAUCUUAGCUCAGAUUUCUAUGAAAGAAUAUUAGACUGGGUAGCUUAAG